CAUGCACAUUCAACGGAUAUGAAAAGGAAGUCGCAGAAUAGGCUAUCAACGAACGAACAAGUAACCCGGGGGCCCUACGUAGAAUCCGUGUCACUGUGGCACUAAACCUGAAGGCUGAUGAUGACAAGGUAGGUUUUUUGGCGCUCGGUGUACCGGUCCAAUUCAAAGAGAAGUCAAAGUUCUACUUUCAUGCUAGACGAUCAUAUUAACCUAUCCGACAGAUAAUCCGCCGCCCAGGGUCAUGCAGAUGUCACGGAAUUGUCAGAGUAAGGCGCAAUCUGGUAAAGUUUGUGUGCAACUAGUACACUACCUAUUGCAUGUACUUGCCAAUGACAUUAUGUAAGCCCUUUGAAAAUCUGACGAAAGUGGGGACACCCCAAAUAAUUUUUGAUCUCCCCUGGACUUGAUCUCCAGAUUGCGAUUUUUAAAAUUUUAUAGGCGGUUUAAUUUAUACCGUUGUUAUCAAUGCACAACUUAUUGAUAUUAAUUAUUUAACGCAAUAGCCUUGGCUGCUUUCUGCACAUGAUAAGAGGGGAAAGUGGGAGGAGAGAAGAAAGCAGUCUGGGGACAACUCUAUUGUAAUUGACCACGAAGAAGGCAGGGUUCGUCUCAAUCUUAAUACCCACAUUCAUUAGAAACAGUGACAAUCAUAUAACCACUUACAGCAAUCAGAUACCGAGUAGUAGUAACCUUUAGAUCCAUAAUGCAGUUGUUGUGUAUAAUGUCCAUGGCUCGAAUGCCAAAGAAGUUUCUUGCAGCCGACAAGUGCCGGCUGUGCGGUAAUCGCUUUCCGAGCUCUCAAAGCAAACACAAUUUGUUUCAAAUGAGCCAGGAUCUCUGCACAAAGAAUCAGCAAGCUACCGGAUUAGGCAUCAGUGACACAGAUGGUCUUUCACACUACGUAUGUGGUUUGUGUCGAAGCAGACUGCUGACUUUCGAAUGCCAGUGCAACAAACUUGAAGCCACGAAGGAGUCCAUUACGUUGACAUACAACAAGACACUGUCUUGUUGGAGGUUCAAGAUAGGAGUCAUAGCGUCUCCAACAAGUUGAUCUACUGUCAAGGAAACAGAUGUGAUGGCCAGUUCUCGAUGUCUGGUGAUGAAAGACCCUCGUGAGAGACUGCUGGUGCUGCAAUUUAUUGCCUUUUCAUGCACAGCAUGGCAAGGUCCGUCUUUGCUGGAAAAUUUGCUGCAAAGAAGUCUGUAACACCUCAUUGUGUAUGUCGUGCAAUGGCUUUACUGCCUUUACCUAUUCUAGUGCCCAUUCGUAGUUUAUCUCAACGACCAUGAGCUUCAGCCAUUGCAAUGUCAAUAUUAACUGAACACACCUGGACUUCUAUAUCAACUCGGUUUUAGCCACCAGUAAAGUGGGGUCUGCCCUCGCUUGCUUCUACAUCAGAAUUUGCCAUGCUGCAUGAGCCCGUUUCCUACAAUACAGUAAAUGAAGUAGCUGUCGAUGAAAGACCUAGUCAAGCAGAUUCUUCGACUGAGUCCGUUCAGUGUAGGGUGAAGGUGCAGAUGAUUUACCCAUCCAAAACAAGUGAUUUCAUCUUUCAAACCAAUACCAUGGCCUGGGACUUGCUUUAGCCUCUCUGAAGUCUGACAGGAUUGCUCAAGCUGCUAUGAAAUUCUGAUGUUUUGCCCUUUUGAUCAAGGGAAUUUGCAAUCUCAUCAACAAAGAGUGUGAAGAAAUGUACAGAUCUUCUACUCACAGUUCAUUUCGCAACUCUUCUUAUUUGAGUAUGACAUCAUUGACAAUACAGAAAACUGUUUAUGAACUACAGACAAUAGCACCUACAAUAGAACAUUAUGGAAAGUCUUACGAGAGUCUGUUAGUCCUAAUAUGACUUUAAUCGACACCAAUGAGAAAUUUCAAGCACAUGCAUGUAUGGCAGCAGCAAGUCUGCUUAAGGCUCAAAAUUGUUACAAUGGUGCUUUACAAUCUCUAGUCAGCAUGAUCCUUUUCCAUUCAGGAGCCAAAAAAGAGCAUACAACAGACUGAACCGGUUGGGUGUUUGUACAGUAUGUUUCAUAAGGUGACACUUCGAAAGGUAAAGUCAAUGUCAGGACAUUUUAUCACUUUAUUGCUCUGCUGGAAAAGAAAUGCCAGUCAUUCCACAAUCAAUCUUUGCAGCCACAGACUUCUGACUGUUUAUCACAUGUACUUAACCUUUCACAGCUUUGAUAGCACAAGAAAUGGCAACACCUUUGGUAGUGAGACUUCUGACUCUUCUUCCAUUUGUUGGGAACCUGAAGAAGGCUCAGAGCAGAUGCCACACUUGAAGACCUUAUGCUUUCAACUGACAGGAGACAACUUGGACAUUUUAAUUAAUCAAGACCAAGUACAUGACUAUUGACAGGAGAAACAAGUUUUUGCAUUGGUUUAAUAUAAUUGUUACAGACGAGCGAAUAGUUGACUAUCAUCUGCCAACUGCAAGGCCUAGGUGUCCUAUUGUGUCAGUUCCAGACACUGCUUUCUUGCCAUCUUUAGAUGACCAUGCAUAGCUGAGAAAAGAAUGUGCAAUUAUUGUGUAGAGGACCAUCACCAAGUACCUGCCUCCUUUCUCACAUUUUGCAAAAUAUGUUAUAAAUCAUAUUGAACAUCAAGUAUACCAAGCAAGCUGGUAAGAAGUUUAUAAGAAACUGUUUGGACCUUGAGUUUAAUGAAAAUAAGCAGCAGGACAUGGUGAAA